AUCAUGUCAAGAUGGAUGGGAGCGUUGAAGGCUGACAGGCUACGAAUACUCAAUCAAAUAAGCGAACGCAAAUACGGGCGCGCAAGGCUGUACAGGAUUAUGGAAAUUUCAUCAAGAAGUGUACGCGAUCGAAGAUCGAGUCAAGUCAUGGAUUGUACGUGGGUGUGUAUGUGGUCACUUAAUUUGAUAUAUGUAUGUUAGUUUUCAUUAAUUUAUAAAAGAGUUUAGUGUAUUUAAGUGAAUUGAAGAGUAUCAUGAAAGAAAUUUUACA